UUUUUCCUGCCCGGUGACUAUAAGUUAAACGGCCGCGGUAUUUUGACCGUGCAAAGGUAGCGCAAUCACUUUUCUUUUAAAUGAAGACCUGUAUGAAUGGUGGAACGAGGGCUUAACUGUCUCCCCCUUCUAGUCAAUGAAAUUGAUCUACCCGUGCAGAAGCGGGUAUAAUAAUGCAAGACGAGAAGACCCUUUGGAGCUUAAGAUAAAAAACCAACUAUGUCAAAAGUCCUAAAAAAGACUAAACCAAAUAGUACUGGUCCUAAUCUUCGGUUGGGGUGACCACGGGAGAAAACAAAGCUCCCAUGCGGAUUGGGAUAAUUCCCUAAAACUAAGAGAGACAUCUCUAAGACGCAGAACAUCUGACCAUAAAGAUCCGGCUACAUGCCGACCAACGGACCAAGUUACCCUAGGGAUAACAGCGCAAUCCCCUUCCAGAGUCCAUAUCGACAAGGGGGUUUACGACCUCGAUGUUUGAUCAGGACAUCCUAAUGGUGCAGCCC
rnacentral:rRNA from 1 species